UACGUAGGUGGCAAGCGUUGUCCGGAAUUAUUGGGCGUAAAGCGCGCGCAGGUGGUUUCUUAAGUCUGAUGUGAAAGCCCACGGCUCAACCGUGGAGGGUCAUUGGAAACUGGGUAACUUGAGUGCAGGAGAGAAGAGUGGAAUUCCACGUGUAGCGGUGAAAUGCGUAGAGAUGUGGAGGAACACCAGUGGCGAAGGCGACUCUUUGGCCUGUAACUGACACUGAGGCGCGAAAGCGUGGGGAGCAAACAGG
rnacentral:rRNA from 1 species